rnacentral:rRNA from 1 species
UACAGAGACUGCAAGCGUUAUUCGGAUUCACUGGGCGUAAAGGGCUCGUAGGCGGUUUGUCGCGUCGGGAGUGAAAUCCACUGGCUUAACUGGUGGCUUGCUUUCGAUACGGGCAGACUGGAGGUAUGCAGGGGAGAACGGAAUUCCUGGUGUAGCGGUGAAAUGCGCAGAUAUCAGGAGGAACACCGGUGGCGAAGGCGGUUCUCGUGGGCAAUGUCCUGACGCUGAGGAGCGAAAGUGUGGGGAGCGAACAGG